rfam:Nematostella vectensis strain CH2 x CH6 NEMVEscaffold_369_Cont25272, whole genome shotgun sequence.
GCCGCGUUAGCACAGUAGGCAGCGCGUAAGUCUCAUAAUCGGAUUAAAGAAAUCUGAAGGGCGUGAGUUCGAUCCUCACACGGGGCA